GAUUCAUGGUAUGAGACAUAUGUUUGUUAUCGGCAGUACCUGUGUUUGUGCCUACAUUAAACAAACUGUAAAGAUAGGGGUUUUCUGACAAUAGCUAACAUGUAUGUGCCUCCUGCUUCUGAUCCAAACCACAAUGCACCCAAGAGAUCCUACAAAGCACCAGUAUCCCACCUAUUUAUGCAUACAUUAAAAUGGGAGCUUUCCUUUCCUUUCUCUUCCUGUUCAGAGUCAGAACACAGUCUGCAAUGUGAAUGGAAUAAGAUGGGUUGCUGACUUGAGGAAGACUAUACAUGUAUUCAAUCCAUGCAGAGGACAAGGCUCACUGGAUCAUGGCCAUUUCAGGCCAGGGUGGCUGGUUGCCCACUGGAGCUGGUGGAUGGAGGACGGGAUCGUUAACAAGAAGUGGGGCCCAGGGAUCAGAGUAAAAAGACAGCACCUGGUGCUCAAUUUAAACAAGGCAAGUAACUUCAAGAUUAUGAGUGCAAAGUGGGUGUACUGGGAGAGACUCAAAGAACAACACAGAAGCAUUUCUGUAGAACCACAUUUUUUGUUCCAGCAACAAUCUCUAUUGCACACAGAAGGCAAACAGGUUGGAGGGAAAAACAUUUUGUGUGUGCAUGUGCGGAAAUAGAUCCACAUGCCCACUUACGCUCUUUUUGCUGUGUCUGCUGCUGCUCACAGGGAAAGGCUGGAAGCCAAGAACUCCAGUCCUGGUGAUCGGGGAGCAAUGUCCCACUGGGGUGGUCUGCUCAGAUGCUGCACUUUUGUUCCAUUUCUUUAAAGACUGCAAUUACUGGCCAUGGAUCUGCUACACAGACACCCAGUUUCCAUAGCAAAAAGCUGUGUUGCUGACUGGCUCCAAGAACAGGUUGUGUGCAGGUAUUUGAGUGAGUCUCCCAGACACCAUGCUUCAUUGUCUGACCUGACUGAGUGACAGCUGGUCCCAGGGGUGUCCUAAAUCUGGAUGAUCCGUUCAGAAUGCAUGAUGAUCAAAGAAGGGAAAUCGGAAGCUCCAGGGGAUGCUGAACUCAACUGAAUGACUACAGAAACUUCUGAGACAACACUAAGUUGUCCCUUCUUGGUCUGGGUGCAGCCCUACCAUGCAGAGCACAGCAGUGCCUCUAACUUUGCUGCCACCAAGUCACUGCACUUCUGGCACUCUGGCUUCUGGAAGCAUGUGCCAGGUCAUUUCAGUCUGGCACAAUAUCCAACACGGAAUGGGUAGAAAACUAAGUGGCUGCCACUGACCCAUUUCUCAUGGAGCACUGAUUGCUUACUGGCUACUGGGAUUCUUGUAAACAAAUUCUUAUGAAGUCCUGAAUACUGAACUCCUGAUCUGUAUAUUUAAAGCACAUUGGGAGGCAGUAAACAUUCAAGAAAAACAUCAACAGGUCUUGAAGGCUGAAGUCAGUUCAUUCUUGGAGGCGAAGCAGCCCAGACUGAAUCUAAAACAUCAAGGCUUAAAUCCAGAAGCUUCUGUCCAUGUUCAGAAGGUGGCUUUCCCCCAUACAAGGACCAGCGCUUUGCCCACGAACACUGAGACUGAAUCAACAUUUUCUUCUUGCACGGGCUGGAGCAGCAGAAGUGCUACAGAAUCCGUUAUGGCUCUCUGCAAGUUCUCAUGGAAGCAUUUAUGGCAGGCAUUUCCUUUUAUUCAUGGUUCAUUUGAUGCAACCCAGUGUAUGCAAAACAUAGCGACUACUGGCUAGGCUUGUAUUUCCAACUGCUUUUGCUGAACCUGAAUCGACUGCAUUAAAUUGUUUUGCCACUUGUG